CCCUUGAUGUUCUGGGCAGCACGCGCGCUACAAUGGUCUUCGCAAACGGAUGCAUUCUCGAAGGAGAAUGCCAAUCUUGGAAUCUAUGCCUUGGUCGGGACAGUUGCUUGCAAUUUUUCGACUCGAACCAGGAAUUCCUUGUAAUCGUGAUUCAUCACAUCACGAUGAAUACGUCCCUGCCCUUUGUACACACCGCCCGUCGCUCCUACCGAUCGAAGAGUUAGGUGAAUUGUUUUGAUCGAUAAGAUUUGACUAUGGUCAACUCUCGUUGUGAAAUUCUGUGAAUCUGACUGUUUAGAGGAAGGAAAAGUCGUAACA
rnacentral:rRNA from 1 species